UUAAGGAAGUACACCACUAAUUCAUGGUCCCAUUGCUUUCUAUGUUAAAUUCCUUCGUUUCAAGCAGGCACACCUCUUUUGUUUUAAGUUCAAAUAAAGUGGCAAUCAUUGCAUUGCAAAGCAACACUUUAUGGUGUCUUGUACUGACAAAAUCAACAUACCUUUAAUUGCAUAUAAGAAAGAACUGGUUCCCAGAACUUCGGAUGUACCCAAACAUGUACUUCAGAUCUGACAAACAGGCAAAAUGUACCCUCUUUUAAAAUUUUG
rnacentral:lncRNA from 1 species